AUGCUUGCAUCUCUGAGACUUAGCGGCGGACGGGUGAGUAACACGUAGGUAACCUGCCUGUAAGACCGGGAUAACAUUCGGAAACGAAUGCUAAUACCGGAUACGCGAAUCGGUCGCAUGACCGGAUCGGGAAAGACGGAGCAAUCUGUCACUUACAGAUGGACCUGCGGCGCAUUAGCUAGUUGGUGAGGUAACGGCUCACCAAGGCGACGAUGCGUAGCCGACCUGAGAGGGUGAUCGGCCACACUGGGACUGAGACACGGCCCAGACUCCUACGGGAGGCAGCAGUGGGGAAUCUUGCGCAAUGGGCGAAAGCCUGACGCAGCGACGCCGCGUGCGGGAGGACGCUUUUCGGAGUGUAAACCGCUGUCGGGGGGGAAGAAAUGUCGGGGGAGGAAAUGCCCUUGAUUUGACGGUACCCUCAAAGGAAGCACCGGCUAACUCUGUGCCAGCAGCCGCGGUAAUACAGAGGGUGCGAGCGUUGUUCGGAAUUACUGGGCGUAAAGCGCGCGCAGGCGGCCCUUUAAGUCUGUCGGUCAAACGCCGGGGCUCAACCCCGUGCUCGCCGGAGAUACUGGAGGGCUGGAGACAGGUAGAGGCAGGCGGAAUUCCGGGUGUAGCGGUGGAAUGCGUAGAGAUCCGGAAGAACACCAGAGGCGAAGGCGGCCUGCUGGGCCUUGUCUGACGCUG
rnacentral:rRNA from 1 species